CAGAAAAACCGAAACGGAGCGUGGUGUGGCGUAAGACCCACACACAAAAACACGUUCGGAGAGAGAGAGGUGACGUAUAAUAUAACGGAGACGGUUUUCACGCCGUCCGAAAAAAAAAGGGGGAGAGCGAGAGGGACGCGGGAAGCCGUCGAUGGGCCUCGCGCGGAAGCCGCCGGAAACGGCGGUGGAGCGGACCUUUGGCACGCCCCUUCUCUCGAGCGCCCCCGCAAACAAACAAACAAAAAGUGACACGAUCGGGAGAAGCCUUCGCGAGGAGGCCUAUCCUUUUUUGAUUAUAAAAUGAUU
rnacentral:misc_RNA from 1 species